AUGUGCUUGAGCAGGCAUUUGGACCUAGGAUGGCGGGUGCAAUAUCUCGGGGAGAAUCAAGUCAUUGUAAUGGCAUCUCUAGCCAGAACAGUUCAGUUGGUGCACGGCGACGUGGUGGCUCGACAAGUGUGGGCAACAGCAGUAGGGUCCCCCUUGAAGUGGAGCCUGAUGGCUACAAUUCUGGGGUUGAUGAAGAGAAGUUAUAUUCUGAUGUUAUUCAGAAUUUACGACGGGCACCUCGGGCUGAAAACCAAGAUGAGGCUCACAAUGCAGUCCGUGUGGAUGAUGACUCGAUGGGUGAGGACGAAGACCUUGCAGCUGUUGAAUGGGACCCUUUGA
rnacentral:rRNA from 1 species